AUAGUGGUGGUUCAGUGGUAGAAUUUUUACCUUCCAUGCAGGAGACCUAGGUUCGAUUCCUGGUCAAUGCA
rfam:Loxodonta africana unplaced genomic scaffold scaffold_21, whole genome shotgun sequence.